CAAGCGGUGGAUUAUGUUGUUUAAUUCGACGCAACGCGAAGAACCUUACCAGGCCUUGACAUACUCGGCAAGGCUCUAGAGAUAGAGUGGAGGUUAUCCGGGAUACAGGUGGUGCAUGGUUGUCGUCAGCUCGUGUCGUGAGAUGUUGGGUUAAGUCCCGCAACGAGCGCAACCCUUGUCUUUAGUUACCAUCAUUAAGUUGGGGACUCUAGAGAGACUGCCGGUGAUAAACCGGAGGAAGGUGGGGAUGACGUCAAAUCAUCAUGCCCCUUAUGGCCUGGGCUACAAACGUAAUACAAUGGCGUAUACAAAGGGAUGCGAAAGGGCGACCUGGAGCAAAACUCACAAAGUACGUCUCAGUUCAGAUUGGAGUCUGCAACUCGACUCCAUGAAGGCGGAAUCGCUAGUAAUCGCGGAUCAGCAUGCCGCGGUGAAUACGUUCUCGGGGUUUGC
rnacentral:rRNA from 1 species